UGAGGAAUUUUGCGCAAUGGCCGCAAGGCUGACGCAGCAACGCCGCGUGGGUGAAGAAGGCCUUCGGGUCGUAAAGCCCUGUCAGGUGGGAAGAACGACACGGGGAGGAAUAUGCUCUGUGAGUGACGGUACCACCAGAGGAAGCACCGGCUAACUCCGUGCCAGCAGCCGCGGUAAUACGGAGGGUGCGAGCGUUAUUCGGAAUUACUGGGCGUAAAGCGCGUGUAGGCGGCCAACCAAGUCUGAUGUGAAAGCCCUGGGCUUAACCUGGGAAGUGCAUUGGAAACUGGCUGGCUUGAGUACUGGAGAGGAAGGGGGAAUUCCCGGUGUAGAGGUGAAAUUCGUAGAGAUCGGGAGGAAUACCAGUGGCGAAGGCGCCCUUCUGGACGGUUACUGACGCUGAGACGCGAAAGCGUGGGGAGCAAACAG
rnacentral:rRNA from 1 species